AGGGAAUAUUGGGCAAUGGGCGCAAGCCUGACCCAGCCAUGCCGCGUGCAGGAUUGAAUGCUCUAUGAGUUGUAAACUGCUUUUAUUCGGGACGAACAAGUUCUAUUCUUAGAACUCUGACGGUACCGAUUGAAUAAGGACCGGCUAACUCCGUGCCAGCAGCCGCGGUAAUACGGAGGGUCCAAGCGUUAUCCGGAUUUACUGGGUUUAAAGGGUGCGUAGGUGGUCAGAUAAGUCAGUGGUGAAAUCCUGCGGCUCAACCGCAGAACUGCCAUUGAAACUGCCUGACUUGAGUGUAGUUGAGGCGGGUGGAAUGUAUCAUGUAGCGGUGAAAUGCUUAGAUAUGAUACAGAACACCAAUUGAGUAGUCAGCUCGCUAAACUAUUACUGACACUGAGGCACGAAAGCGUGGGUAUCGAAC
rnacentral:rRNA from 1 species